rnacentral:rRNA from 1 species
GAUGAACGCUAGCGGGAGGCUUAACACAUGCAAGUCGAGGGGUAAAGGCAGGAAUGCCUGAGACCGGCGGACGGGUGCGUAACGCGUAUGCAACUUACCUUAAGCAGGGGGAUAGGUCCCGGAAACGGGAAUUAACACCUCAUAGAACAAUAGAUCUGCAUAGGUUAAUUGGGAAAUCUGAGGAGGCUUAAGAUGGGCAUGCGUCUGAUUAGCUGGUUGGUAGGGUAACGGCCUACCAAGGCGACGAUCAGUAGGGGUUCUGAGAGGAUACACCCCCACACUGGUACUGAGACACGGACCAGACUCCUACGGGAGGCAG